GACGAACGCUGGCGGCGUGCUUAACACAUGCAAGUCGAACGAAGUGGCGAACGGGUGAGUAACGCGUAAUCAACCUGCCCUUCAGAGGGGGACAACAGUUGGAAACGACUGCUAAUACCGCAUACUGAAGGAGGGGAUUGCGUUUGAUUAGCUAGUUGGAGGGGUAACGGCCCACCAAGGCGAUGAUCAGUAGCCGGUCUGAGAGGAUGAACGGGCACAAUGGGAAUGUGACAAGGGCCAGGAUCCUACGGGAGGCAGCAGGGGGGAAACUUUCGCAAUGGACGGAAGUCUGGAGGAGCAACGCCGGGGUAGUUAUGAAGGCCUUCGGGUUGUAAAGCUCUGUUAAUCGGGACGCGGUACCGGAAUAGAAAGCCACGGCUAACUACGUGCCAGCAGCCGCGGUAAUUC
rnacentral:rRNA from 1 species